AUCCAAUCUGCUGUCCCGUGUUGCACCUGGAAAGAUUAUCAGAUUAAUAUAAUUGAUACGCCUGGUCAUGUUGAUUUUACGAUUGAAGUGGAGAGGGCGCUGCAUAUUCUUGACGGUGCCAUUUGGGUUCUGUGUAGUGUUGGUGGUGUACAAAGUCAGUCAAUUACUGUUGAUCGACAAAUGAGAAGAUAUGAGGUUUUGAGACUCACCUUUAUUAACAAACUCGAUCGAAUGGGAGCUGAUCCAUGGAAAGUUCUCAACCAGCGGAGAAAAAGUUGAUGCUGAAAAAGUACCAACAGAAAUGGAAGCCACAGUUACAGAAAAAAGAUGGGAACUGAUUGAAAUGGUUUCUGAAGUGGAUGAUAAACUUGCUGAAGCAUUUCUAAAUGUUUUCUGAAAACAGUCAGUUGCUGCCACCCUUUGCUCAGAAGGAUGUGGAGACUGUUCGUGUGUCAUCUCCAGAAUUGACGUUAGCACCAGACAUCUCUACAUUUAUUCGAAGAGGGGUAGCUGCCUAUCCUAUGUUUGUGAUGAUAGAGAGAAAAAUACAGUUAGCAAAAACAGCUUCAAGACAGGCUCACCCAAGACCUUAAACCCGAGCCAUUCGCUAAUCAAAAUCAAAGCCU
rnacentral:lncRNA from 1 species